UUGUUAUUAUUAGAAAAAAAUAAAAAGUAAAAAGUAAAAAAUAAAAAAAAAAAGUAAAAAGUAAAAAAAAAAAGUAAAAAAUAAAAAAAAAAAGUAAAAAGUAAAAAAAAAAAAGUAAAAAGUAAAAAAAAAAGUAAAAAGUUAAAAAAAAAGUAAAAAGUAAAAAAAAAAAGUAAAAAGUUAAAAAAAAAGUAAAAAGUUAAAAAAAAAGUAAAAAGUAAAAAAAAAAAGUAAAAAUUUAAAAAAAAAAGUAAAAAGUAAAAAAUAAA
rnacentral:sRNA from 1 species